rnacentral:ncRNA from 1 species
UAAAAGUUUUAAUUUAGCUUUAUUUCUCAUUAUUAUUUUGGAGUUUAUAUAUAUUAUGGUUUAUUUUAAAAAUAGAUUAGUAGUGUUUUAAUUUAUACAUAUAUGGGAAAUCAUGAUUUAGUAAUAAAAUUUAGUACUGACUUAAUAUGUGCCAGCAGUUGCGGUUAUACUUAUAGUGCAGUUGAGGUAUUUUGUAUUAUAAUAAUAUUGUUUAUUUAGAAGGGAUAAUAUUUAUUUUAGGUAAAAUUAUAUAAUAUUAUUAUUUAGUAUUAAUUAAUAGAUUUAUUAAGCUUAGUAUUAAAACUAGGAUUAGAUACCCUAUUAUUUUAAGUGUAUAAUAAUUUGAUUAGUAUUAGUUAAGUUCUUGAAAGUUAAAGAUUUUGGCGGUAUUUUAGUCUAUUCAGAGGAACCUGUUUCGUGAAUGAUAGUCCACGAUUAAUUUAACUUGAAUUAUUAUUUUGUAUAUCGUCGUGAUUAGAAAUUUUUGAAGAAAAAAUUUUUAUAAGUUUAAGUUAUAAAAGAUGUCAGAUCAAGGUGCAGAUUAUAUUUAAGAGUUGGUGGGUUACAAUUAAGAUAUUACUGGAUUAUAUUUUGAAAUGAUAAUAGAAAGUGGAUUUGAUAGUAAUUAAUUAUAUUUAUUUUAAAUGAUUUAAGCUCUAAAGUAUGCACAUAUUGCCCGUCACUUUCAUAGAUGAAAUAAGUCGUAACAAAGUAGAUGUACUGGAAGGUGUAUCUAGAAAGAU